GACGAACGCUGGCGGCGUGCUUAACACAUGCAAGUCGAACGAAGAGCGAUGGAAGCUUGCUUCUCUCAAUCUUGGUGGCGAACGGGUGAGUAACGCGUAAUCAACCUGCCCUUCAGAGGGGGACAACAGUUGGAAACGACUGCUAAUACCGCAUACGAUCUAAUCUCGGCAUCGAGGAUAGAUGAAAGGUGGCCUCUACAUGUAAGCUAUCACUGAAGGAGGGGAUUGCGUCUGAUUAGCUAGUUGGAGGGGUAACGGCCCACCAAGGCGAUGAUCAGUAGCCGGUCUGAGAGGAUGAACGGCCACAUUGGGACUGAGACACGGCCCAGACUCCUACGGGAGGCAGCAGUGGGGAAUCUUCCGCAAUGGACGAAAGUCUGACGGAGCAACGCCGCGUGAGUGAUGACGGCCUUCGGGUUGUAAAGCUCUGUUAAUCGGGACGAAAGGCCUUCUUGCGAAUAGUGAGAAGGAUUGACGGUACCGGAAUAGAAAGCCACGGCUAACUACGU
rnacentral:rRNA from 1 species